AGGGUGCAGGGCGGAUGCCUUGGCACUAGGAGCCGAUGAAGGACGUGAUAAGCUGCGAUAAGCUUCGGGGAGUUGCACGUAAACUUUGAUCCGAAGAUUUCCGAAUGAGGAAACUCACUUAGAGUAAUGUCUAAGUAUCAUUAAGUGAAUACAUAGCUUAAUGAGGGGAACUCAGGGAACUGAAACAUCUAAGUACCUGAAGGAAGAGAAAGAAAUUCGAUUCCGUAAGUAGCGGCGAGCGAACGCGGAUUAGCCCAAACCAAUAAAGUUUUCUUUAUUGGGGUUGCGGACAUAUCAUAACGAAGAGGUAUCGUAAUUGAAGAGGUUUGGAAAGACCCACCACAGAAGGUAAUAGUCCUGUAUGUUAAACGAGAAGACUUCAGAUAUGAUCCAGAGUACCACGGGACACGUGAAACCCUGUGGGAAGCAGGAGGGACCACCCUCCAAGGCUAAAUACUACCUAGUGACCGAUAGCGUAUAGUACCGUGAGGGAAAGGUGAAAAGAACCCCGGGAGGGGAGUGAAAUAGAACCUGAAACCCUGCACUUACAAGCUGUGGAAGCACAUUUCUUGUGUGACCGCGUACUUUUUGUAGAACGGGCCAACGAGUUACGUUAAGUAGCAAGGUUAAGCACUUAAGGUGUGGAGCCGUAGCGAAAGCGAGUUUUAACUGAGCGUUCAGUUACUUGACGUAGACCCGAAACCGGGCGACCUACCCAUGAGCAGGAUGAAGCGAAAGUAAAAUUUCGUGGAGGUCCGAACCCACGAGCGUUGAAAAGCUCGGGGAUGACUUGUGGGUAGCGGUGAAAUUCCAAUCGAGCCCGGAGAUAGCUGGUUCUCCCCGAAAUAGCUUUAGGGCUAGCCUCAAGGUGAGAGAUACGGAGGUAGAGCACUGAAUGUCCUAGGGGGUAUUGCACCUACCGAAGACUAUCAAACUCCGAAUGCCGUCAUCUUAUACUUGGGAGUCAGACUGUGGGUGAUAAGAUUCAUAGUCGAAAGGGCAACAGCCCAGAUCGUCAGCUAAGGUCCCUAAAUGUAAGUUAAGUGGUAAAGGAUGUGGGAUUGCACAGACAACCAGGAUGUUGGCUUAGAAGCAGCCACUCAUUCAAAGAGUGCGUAAUAGCUCACUGGUCGAGUGAUCCUGCGCCGAAGAUUUCCGGGGCUAAAACUUACUACCGAAGCUACGGCAUCAGUAAUGAUGGGUAGGGGAGCUUCCCAUACGGGUUGAAGCAUGACCGUAAGGACAUGUGGACAGUAUGGGAGUGAGAAUGUUGGCAUGAGUAGCGAGAUGUGGGUGAGAAUCCCACAGGCCGUAAACCCAAGGUUUCCAGGGGAAGGUUCGUCCGCCCUGGGUUAGUCGGGACCUAAGCUGAGGCCGAAAGGCGUAGGUGAUGGACAACAGGUUGAUAUUCCUGUACUACCGAUAACCGUUUGAGAGAAGGGAUGACACAGUAGGAUAAGCUAAGCACACUGUUGGUUAUGUGUGCCCAAGCAUUGAGGCAGUCAAAGUAGGCAAAUCCGCUUUGAUAAUGCUGGGAUGUGAUGGGGAGCGAAAUUUAGUAGCGAAGUAGCUGAUUUCACACUGUCAAGAAAAGUCUCUAUCGAGGUUAAAGGUACCCGUACCGCAAACCGACACAGGUGGGUGAGGAGAGUAUCCUAAGGCCAGCGAGAGAACUGUUGUUAAGGAACUCGGCAAAAUGACCCCGUAACUUAGGGAUAAGGGGUGCCACCAUCAGGUGGCCGCAGAGAAUAGGCCCAAGCGACUGUUUACCAAAAACAUAGGUUUCUGCUAAGUCGCAAGACGAUGUAUAGGAGCUGACGCCUGCCCGGUGCUGGAAGGUUAAGGGGAUCUGUUAGAGCAAUCGAAGCAGUGAACUUAAGCCCCAGUAAACGGCGGCCGUAACUAUAACGGUCCUAAGGUAGCGAAAUUCCUUGUCGGGUAAGUUCCGACCCGCACGAAAGGCGUAACGAUUUGAGCACUGUCUCAACAACAGACUCGGUGAAAUUGUAAUUCCGGUGAAGAUGCCGGAUACCUGCGACAGGACGGAAAGACCCCAUGGAGCUUUACUGUAGCUUGACAUUGGGUCUUGGUACUACAUGUACAGGAUAGGUGGGAGGCUUUGAAACCAGGACGCCAGUUUUGGCGGAGCCAUCCUUGGGAUACCACCCUUGUAGUACUGGGACUCUAACCAUAGGCCAUGAAUCUGGUCUUGGGACACUGUCAGGUGGGCAGUUUGACUGGGGCGGUCGCCUCCCAAAAGGUAACGGAGGCGCUCAAAGGUUCUCUCAGUACGGUCGGAAAUCGUACGUAGAGUGUAAAGGCAAAAGAGAGCUUGAUUGCAAGACAUACAGGUCGAGCAAGGAUGAAAAUCGGACUUAGUGAUCCGGUGGUUCUGCGUGGAAGGGCCAUCGCUCAACGGAUAAAAGCUACCCUGGGGAUAACAGGCUUAUCUCCCCCAAGAGUCCACAUCGACGGGGAGGUUUGGCACCUCGAUGUCGGCUCAUCACAUCCUGGGGCUGUAGUAGGUCCCAAGGGUUGGGCUGUUCGCCCAUUAAAGUGGUACGCGAGCUGGGUUCAGAACGUCGUGAGACAGUUCGGUCCCUAUCCGUCGCAGGCGUAGGAAAUUUGAGAAGACCUGUCCUUAGUACGAGAGGACCGGGAUGGACGUACCUCUGGUGUACCAGUUGUUCUGCCAAGGGCAUGGCUGGGUAGCUAUGUACGGAAUGGAUAAGCGCUGAAAGCAUCUAAGCGCGAAGCCAACUUCAAGAUAAGAUUUCCCACCGCAAGGGUAAGACCCCAGAAAGACUAUCUGGUUGAUAGGUCGAAGGUGUAAGUGCAGCAAUGUAUUUAGCUUAUCGAUACUAAUAGGUCGAGGACUUGACC
rnacentral:rRNA from 1 species